UACGAAGGUGCAAGCGUUGCUCGGAAUUAUUGGGCGUAAAGGGUUGGUAGGUGGUCUUGUUGUCUAAGGUGAAAUCCCAUGGCUUAACUGUGGAAGUGCCUUAGAAACGGCAAGACUAGAGUCCUAGAGGGGUUUGUGGAAUUCCCGGUGUAGCGGUGAAAUGCGCAGAUAUCAGGAGGAACACCGAUGGCGAAGGCAGGUCUCUGGCCGAUACUGACGCUGAGAGCGAAAGCGUGGGGAGCGAACAGG
rnacentral:rRNA from 1 species